UUGCGCCUUCGGGAAUGUUCUGUGCGGUUCAUCUGUUCGUCCCUCCCUCGGCUUGUGGCUCGCGUUGAGGCGCCAGAGCCUGUCUCUCCCGCCGUCGUCUCUGCCCGCGCGCCUCACGGGAACCACCGGCGUCCGUCACCCGCAGCCUACGCGGGUGCCACGAUGGCGUAGCUGCCCCCGGGCUCUGUUCUGGUAGAGGCCUGAGAGCCGGGUUCCUGGGGCCGUGAGGGCCCCGCACCUCUCCUGUCAUGAAGGAGAAGAGUAUCCCCAGCGGUGCGUCGCCAGAGUUAUUAAUAGUUCCGUAGCUCUACCUAAUACAGCACUGUAACUGGAUUACAUUUCUUUUAAGGGCAGAAGUCAGUGUGGAAUAGAGAGAACUUUAUUGGAGAGACUUUGUCUACCUUUUCCCUGGACCUUGACUAAUACAACACUACAAUGAAGUGUAUUUUUAAAAAUUUUAUUUAUUAAUAUAUCACAUUAUAUAUUUCUUAUGAAGAAGUGGGUAAGUUGAAAAUUUUAUAUUUCUCUCUCUCUCUCUCUCUCUCUGUCACACACAGACACACACACACAGAGCCUAAUUAAGUAGCUUCAUUCUUUAUUCUACAGAAGUAACCACU